GACGAACGCUGGCGGCGUGCUUAACACAUGCAAGUCGAACGGUAAGGCCCUUCGGGGUACACGAGUGGCGAACGGGUGAGUAACACGUGGGUGAUCUGCCCUGCACUUCGGGAUAAGCCUGGGAAACUGGGUCUAAUACCGGAUAGGACUCCUGGCUUCAUGGUUGGGGGUGGAAAGCUUUUGCGGUGUGGGAUGGGCCCGCGGCCUAUCAGCUUGUUGGUGGGGUAAUGGCCUACCAAGGCGACGACGGGUAGCCGGCCUGAGAGGGUGGCCGGUCACACUGGGACUGAGAUACGGCCCAGACUCCUACGGGAGGCAGCAGUGGGGAAUAUUGCACAAUGGGCGCAAGCCUGAUGCAGCGACGCCGCGUGAGGGAUGACGGCCUUCGGGUUAUAAACCUCUUUCAGCUAUGACGAAGCGCAAGUGACGGUAGUAGCAGAAGAAGGACCGGCCAACUACGUGCCAGCCGCCGCAGUAA
rnacentral:rRNA from 1 species